rnacentral:rRNA from 1 species
GAUGAACGCUAGCGACAGGCCUAACACAUGCAAGUCGAGGGGCAGCGGGGCCUCAGCAAUGAGGCCGCCGGCGACCGGCGCACGGGUGCGUAACGCGUAUGGAACCUGUCCGGCGCAGGGGACCAGCCUCCCGAAAGGGAGAUUAAUCCCCCGUAAGAACAGGAGGGGCAUCCCUCUUGUUGGAAAGCCGCGAGGCGGCGCCGGGUGGCCAUGCGUCCCAUUAGGUAGAUGGCGGUGCAGCGGACCACCAUGCCGACGAUGGGUAGGGGAUCUGAGAGGAAGGUCCCCCCACACUGGAACUGAGACACGGUCCAGACUCCUACGGGAGGCAGCAGUGAGGAAUAUUGGUCAAUGGUCUGACGACUGAACC